UGUUACUCAGCUUCUGUUUCCCACCAAGAUCAUUGCAAAGGAGAAAACCAUCUGGACUCCUCACCCGCAACUGCUUGAGUGACAUUUAUAAAUGAAAAUAUGGGACUUAAUUAGGUACAUCUUCUACAAAAGGCUUGGAAAGUGUUCACCUUGAGGAGGAUAGAACGUGUCUGCAAAGCAAGAACAGCAAGUCUCUCCCACAAAGGGAACUUUUUCUCCUUGAAGGCAAAGAAGGAAGAUCUUCAAUCUGCUUGAGAAUUGCUGUGACACCCUGUAUUUGGCAUCUGUUUCUAGAACCAACCACUCCCUGUUCCUAUGAUAAGGACAAUACUGUACUGACCCCUUUUCAAAAAAUAUCAGGAGAGAGGGAAUUAAAUGGAGGAUCUACACUCAGAAAGUUGAAUUCUGCACCAAUUAAACUAAU